UUCUUCAUCAUCAGUUAUCUUCUGUAAAUCAUUUUCUUCUUCUAAAUCUUUCUUCUAACAAAACUUAGAUCGAUGUAUUCCAACAUCCCCCCUCAAGUUGGAGAGGGCAGAAGACACCCCCAACUUGCCAAGAAUUAUUUUGUGAGCAGGGCCCAGUAAGGGUUUGGUGAAUAAAUCAGCAAAUUGCAAUUUUGAGGGAAUAAAAGAAAGGGAGAUGAGAUCGGAGAGAAAUCAUUGCCGCACAAAGUGGCAAUCGAGUUCGACAUGUUUAGUCCUUUUGUGAAACGCAUGAUUCCUGGCGAUAUGGAUGGCAGCUUGACUAUCAGAGAAAAUGGGAACCAGAGUCGGAAGAGGAACUGAAAGAUCUGUGAGCAAACGAGUCAACCAGGUGAUUCUGUAACCACACAUCGCCCGCUUCUAUGGAAGAUAGAGAGACAAAAGCUUGUUUCUUGGAUUUUCAAGACACAGGAAAACCACCCAAACUUAUAAAGAAACCAGUAACGGACAGACGACUAUCUCGGCAAGAGGCCCAAUCUGCAUCGCAGAAAGCCAAAAGGUCAUAAGUGGGAUGGGCAUUGAGAAACAGUCCUUUGCCUGAGCUGGAGCCAAGGUAAUGAAAAACACACAAGGCAGCAGUGAAAUGACCAAUUCAAGGGCGUUGUAUGAACUGGCUGAGAGUGAGAACAGCGAAGGAGGGAUCUGGGCAUGUAUGAGUCAAAUAAUUGAUCUUACCCACCAAACGACGACAAAGAGAAGCUCCAGUCAAUUGAGGACCAGAAUCAGUAACUAAUUUGGACGAUAGAUACAGGGGUUAAGAAACUGAACGGAGAUUGGAGCAGUCAAACUCGUGGAGCAAAUCAAUGGUAAAUUUCCUUUGAUUAAUAAUCAUACCCUUUUGUUCUCGCAAAAAAUUCAUUCCUUAAAAACAAUGAAGUGGCCCAAGAUUCUUCAUUUUGAACUUAGAAUGCAUGAAUGCUUUGAGGUCUGUUAACUCAGCAAUGUUGUCCCCUGUAAGCAGUAUAUCAUCGACAUAGAAUGCAAUAAUAGAAAUGACAUCAUCUAUUCUCUUAAAGAACAGAGAAUAGUCAUUAAGAAAAGCAGAAAAACCCUUGAAUUGAGCACCCCGACAAGCCCGGAAUACCAUUGUCUGGAGGCUUGUUUCAAACCAUAAAGAGAUCUCUUAAGUCGAUAAACAUGGUUGGGACUUGGGGAAGGUAAACCAGCAGGAAACCUCAAUAAACUUCUUCUUUCAACUCCCCAUGUAAGAAGGCAUUGCUCACAUCAAAUUGAGAUAUAGACCAACCUUUCUUGACAGCAAUAGAAAGCAAACAUCUGAUUGUUGUCAUCUUGACAACUAGAGAGAAGGUUUCUAUGUAAUCCAUACAUUCUCUCUGAACAUCACCUCUUAUAACCAAUCGAGCCUUGAGUCUUUCAAUAGUGCCAUCAGCAUUUUGUUUGACUUUAUAAACCCAUUUACAGGGUAAUGCCUUUUUCCUAGUAGGUAGUAGAACCAUAUCUCAGGUAAGAUUCUCUUCUAAAGCCUUAAGUUUUGUGUUCAUAGCCUGGGUUAGAACAAGCCUGGGAGUAGGAUGUGGGUUCUAUAAUAGAGAAAACUGAUUGGAAGAGGUGUUGAUUAGAACUAGUGAGGGCAAAGAAAGCAAAUGGAGAAGGGGACGGAGAGGUAGGACAAGAAGUGGUGACAUCAGUGAGAAAUAUGUUGUUGCAAAUAUAAUACUUAACUAGGUAGAGUCCUUAUAUUAUCUCUACUGGAUCUCCUAAGGGGAACGGGAGCCUAGUAGGCAGUAGAACAACACCCCACGUAAUAUUCUCUUCUAAAACCUUAAGUUCUAAGUUCAUAAAUUGCACCCAACAUGGGUUAAUACAAGCCAGAGAGUAGGAGGUAGAUUCUGUAAUAGAAGAGACUGAUUUGAGUAGGUGUUUAUUAGAGCUAGUGAGAGCAGAGAAAGCAAAGGGGAAGGGGAACAAGGACAUGUGAGACAAGAAGUGGUGACAUCAGUGAGAAAUAUGUUGUUGUAAAUAUAAUCCUUAAGAUAACUAGGUAGAGUCCCUAUAUUAUCUCUAUUGGAUAUCCUAAGAGGAACAAGAGGGGAAUGAGGGAUAGGUGAGGUAGAAGAAAUAGGAGAGGGAAUAGUCAGGUGAGAAGAAGAACUAGGUAAAGAACCAGGAGUAGAGCAAUCUUGUGGUACACUGUAGUUAUGUGGUGUGGGAGCAUUAGAGGUGAAAGGAGGUAUAGGGAAUAUGGGACCAGGAUAUAUAUAGAGGGAUCAUCUUGACACAUAUGGGAAAAGGGAAAGAUAUGUUCAAUGAAAUAAACAUCCCUGGAGACAAAGAAAUUCAUGGUGGUGAAAUUCAAUAAUUUAUAUCCAUUUUGACUAAGUGGAUAUCCCAUGAAUACACAUGUUGUGGCCCUGGGAUCAAACUUCCCUCUGUUGUGUGACAAGGUAGAGGCAUAACAAAGACAACCAAAACUUCUUAUGAAAGAAUAGGAGGGUGCCUUACCAAACAACAAAUGAUAGGAAGUUUGUCCUUUGAGCACUCUAGAUGGAAAUCUGUUGAUGAGAAAUGUAGUUGUUAGAAUGCAUUCUCCCCAAUAACAAAGACGCACCUUGGAUUUAAAGAGUAGAGCUCUAACAAUUUCUAACAAAUGUCUAUAUUUUCUCUCCAUAAUCCCAUUUUGCUAAGGAAUUCCCACACAUGAAUUCUGAUGCAAAAUGCCUUAUGAUAAUAAAAACAAGGAAGUUUCAGUGUUGCUCCCAACUCAAAAGCAUUAUCUGACCUAAUAACCUUGACCUUAGUGUUAAAGUAUCUUUCCACCAUGCUCAAAAAAUAUUUUAGAACUGAAAAUGCACAAUCCUUUGUGCUCAGUAGAUAAGUCCAAGUUGCUCUAUUAAAAUCAUCCACAAUAGUGAGAAAAUACUUGUAUCCAUUAUGAGUAGAAGUCCUAUAAGGAGCCCAUGUGUCAAUGUGUAUUAGUUCAAAAGGUUGCUUAGUCUGGAUAUGACUGAGUGAAAAUGGUAAUCUAGACUGUCUUGAUAAUGGGGAAACAUCACAAUGACACAUAAUCAUAAACAAAAGAAAUUAAACUGAUAUAUUUCAUUGGAUUGAAAGACAGAUUCCCCAAUUACAUGCCAUCUGUGCUAAAAUGGGAAAAGGAAAAGAUGCUGAAACUGAAUUAGAAAAAGAUGCAGGAAACAAUCUAUUAUCUGAAACUGAAUUAGAAGAAAAAUUUCUAGGUUCUACACUAGGCUCCAAUAAGUAAAGUCCCUCCUUAGCUUCACCAAAAACUUGAGGGCUCUUCAUGAGAGGGCCCUACAAAAUACAUCCAAAAGAAAUGAAAACUAAGAGACAUUUGAAUCUUUGACAAAGCCUACAAACUGAGAGUAAGUUAUACUUGAAACUAGGAAUAUGAAGAACAUUUUCCAGAACUAGACCUGGAAAGAUAGAAAUACUGCCAGCAUGAUUGACCUUUGCUCUAGAAAAUAUAGGUAAUUUUACCAUUAGAGGAAAAGGUAAUGGUACUAAGAAUAAGAAUGUGUUAGCAUUAAAACACAUAUGCUCAGCUGCCCCUGAAUCUAUAGUCCAAGAGUUGGAAAGAUUAGAAUUAGAAAUUGAAUAACAGGAUGGAGAAUUAGUAAACAAUAUACCAGAAGCAGAAUUUGCAUUGACCUCUUGAGAAGCUCCCUUUAUUAUUUGUAGUUGAUUCAACAGACUAACUAAUUGACUGAAUUGAUUAGAUGAGAGCUUUUGAGAAAAUUGAGGUCCUUAUGCCAUGUUGCUAUGAAUUUUCCCUGUAUCUUCUACUACAGUGCCUGAAUUUCCUUUUGGUGGAUUUUGAACCCUUUUGUUUUUAGUAAAUUUGAAAUCAGCAGGUAAUCCUAAAAGUAUGUAACAGUUAUCAGUUGUGUGAUUAGUCAUCUUACAAUCGGAGCACAUCUGUGUGUUUUUCUUUCCUUUGUAUGCAAGAUUUCUUUUAUAAGAAGUAUGUCCAUUCUUCUGCUGAGGGAAAUGAGAUGCUGCAGGGUUCUGAUAACUCUGAGGUCCUUGAUUCUUCACCAUGAAAGAAGCACCAUCUGUUGGAAAUGGGGAACUGACAUGGAUUUCCCUUUGAUUCUCAUCUUGCAUGAGAAGUGAGUAAGGUUGAUUGACUGAAGGUGGAGGUUUAACCAUAAGAAUGUUGCUCCUAGCCAAUUUAUAUGUCUCAUUCAAGCCCAUGAAGAACUGAACGAGCCUCUCAUCUUCCUUAAAUUGCUGCAUUUUCUUCUUUCCAUCACAAUCACAGUUGCAUGAGCACUGCAUAUCAGAGUUGAGAGUGUCUAAUCCAUCCCAUAGUCGCUUCAUUUUAGUGAAAUAAGUAGCAAUGUCAGUUGUCCCUUGUAUUGAAUUAGCAAGUUCCUUUUGCAGGUGGUAUAGCUUGGCUCCAUUAGGUUGCCCAAACAUGUACUCCAGAUCUAACCAAAGAUCCUUAGCAGCUUUUGAGUAUAGAAAACUGUCAGCAAUGACUUUGGUGAGGGAAUCCAACAACCAAGAGGUUACCAUGUGGUUGCAUUUGCUCCAAGUUGGAUGAGUAGGUCUGUAGAAGAUGGUAUAGGGCAUGAACCAUCAAUGAAGCCUAAUUUGUUCUUAGCUGACAGCGAGAUCAAAAUGGAUCUACUCCAACCAACAUAGCCACGACCAUCAAAUGAUGUGUUCACCAGUAUCAUGUCUGGUGCAAAAGAAGCAUGAAUGAAGUAAGGGUGAGUAGAAUCAAUGGUUUUUCCAUUGCCUGAUGUUGUUGAAGAAGAAGAGGUGUGUGUGAGUUGAGUUUCAGUGACGUCUGAGGAAGGAGCCAUGAUUCAUGUAGAAAAUUAGAAAUAUGAAGAAAAGGAAAAGAAGAAGAAGAGGAAGAAGAGCUACUGCUCUAAUACCAUAUUGAAAAUUAAGAAC
rnacentral:lncRNA from 1 species